rnacentral:rRNA from 1 species
CGUCGACCGGCGCACGGGUGAGUAACGCGUAUCCAACCUGCCCACCACUUGGGGAUAACCUUGCGAAAGUAAGACUAAUACCCAAUGAUAUCCCACGAAGGCAUCCGAAUGGGAUUAAAGAUUUAUCGGUGAUGGAUGGGGAUGCGUCUGAUUAGCUUGUUGGCGGGGUAACGGCCCACCAAGGCGACGAUCAGUAGGGGUUCUGAGAGGAAGGUCCCCCACAUUGGAACUGAGACACGGUUCAAACUCCUACGGGAGGCAGCAGUGAGGAAUAUUGGUCAAUGGGCGAGAGCCUGAACCAGCCAAGUAGCGUGCAGGAAGACGGCCCUAUGGGUUGUAAACUGCUUUUAUAGGGGAAUAAAGUGAGCCACGUGUGGUUUUUUGCAUGUACCCUAUGAAUAAGGACCGGCUAAUUCCGUG